UACGUAGGGUGCGAGCGUUAAUCGGAAUUACUGGGCGUAAAGUGUGCGCAGGCGGCCGCGCAAGUCGAGUGUGAAAUCCCCGAGCUUAACUUGGGAAUUGCGCUCGAAACUACGUGGCUGGAGUGUGGCAGAGGAAGGUGGAAUUCCACGUGUAGCGGUGAAAUGCGCAGAUAUCAGGAGGAACACCGAUGGCGAAGGCAGGUCUCUGGGCCACUACUGACGCUGAGAAGCGAAAGCAUGGGGAGCGAACAGG
rnacentral:rRNA from 1 species